UUGGGUCAACAUCCUUCAAUUACAAGUAUGCUCGUGUUGUUUUCCAGGUGAAAGCUGGUGAAGAUUCCAGGGCAAAAAAAGGUUAAGGGCAUCCUGAAGCAUAUGCUAUGCUUAUAAGUGGAGAGGAGGGAUCUUCUCAUCUACAAGAAGAAAUUUUUGUGGUGUAACUGAAGAACAUGUUGGUUUUCCCCUGUAGGCAAAAUCAAGUUUUUAACUGCAAGCAAGCAAACCAAAGAGCAGGUUGUGAUUUUGCGCUCUACAGUCUGAGCACC
rnacentral:lncRNA from 1 species